GCCACAGCAUAGCCGCCCAUGAGAAGUGUAGGUCUGUGCCGGGAAGUGAACACAGGCUGCCGAAGUGGAGCACGUCGAACGAACUCAACCACCAGGCCGUGGGGGUGGCCCCAGUAACUUCUUCCUAAGUUUUAUUUAAAGUCCCGACGUCCAGGAGCCCACCAUCUUCUGCAGUGAUGUCCCCCCGGAGGCUCGUGGGCCACCGUCUGUGGAAAUGACGGCCGUGUGUGCAGAGUGAACCCCUGCUCCAGCAGCUCUCCUCCGACUGGAGGGUCUCGGUGUCACGUGAACACACACCGACCGCUGUCACAUCCUCGGACACGGCCGUUCUCGGCUCUUCUCUGUGGAGCUGCCCGGGGAACGGCGUUCGGGGUGGUGUUACCCGUGGCCGUCUGGUGGAUCCGGGGCAAGGCCCUGCAGCUGAGCCGGGGCCUGCCGUCUGGGUCACAGGCUCACCAGCACCCAAUGGACAUGCAGGGAUUCAGCAGACAGCACCCAAUGGACGUGCGGGCGACUCCCAACGGACAUGCGGGGCUCAGCGGGCAGCACCUAACAGAUGUGCGGGGCUCAGCAGGUGGUUCUCUGAAGCUGCAGCCUGGAGGAGAUUCUGACCAUUUUUUCCAACACUUAAAAUCAUACCACUUGUGCCUCCUCCAGCAGAGUUUCUGGUCUAUGUAAAAAUAGCAACAACCCCCACUGCUUCUUAUUUUAAAAAGGGAACGCCCAGUGAACAUAUUUUUAUCUCCUCUGUCUGUCCUCGUGGUCUUUGCCAAAUGUUGCCUUGAGUGCUUUGUGGAACAAAGUAUAAAGAAAGAAAGAGGGGCCGGCUCCGUGGCCGAGUGGUUAAGUUUGCGCACUCCGCUGCGGCGGCCCAGGGUUCGGAUCCUGGGCCCGGACAUGGCACCGCUCAUCCGGCCGCGUUGAGGCGGCGUCCCACAUCCCACAACAAGAUGGACCGGCAACUAAGAUAUACAACUAUGUACAGGAGGAGUUUGGGGAGAUAAAGCAGAAAAAAAAAAAAAAAAAGAUUGGCAACAGUUGUUAGCCCAGGUACCAAUCCUUAAAAAAAAAGAGGAAGAUUGGCAACAG
rnacentral:lncRNA from 1 species